UACGUGAGGGGGCUAGCGUUGUCCGGAUUUAUUGGGCGUAAAGAGCGUGUAGGCGGCCAGGUAGGUCUGAUGUGAAAACUCGAGGCUUAACCUCGAGAUGUCAUCGGAAACCAUUUGGCUAGAGUCCGGAAGAGGGAGAAUGGAAUUCCUGGUGUAGCGGUGAAAUGCGCAGAUAUCAGGAAGAACACCCGUGGCGAAGGCGGUUCUCUGGGACGGUACUGACGCUGGAGAACGCGAAAGCGUGGGGAGCGAACAGG
rnacentral:rRNA from 1 species